rnacentral:rRNA from 1 species
GCGGCGUGGAUAGGCAUGCAAGUCGAACGGUAGGAACCUUUCGGGGUUCUGAGAGUGGCGAACGGGUGAGUAACACGUAGGUAAUUUACCCUCAAAUCGGGGACAACCCAGGGAAACUUGGGCUAAUACCGGAUGAGUGCACUUUCGGGUGUAUAAAAGGUGGCGUAAGCUGCCGUUUGGGGAUGAGCCUGCGCUCUAUUAGUUAGUUGGUGAGGUAACGGCUCACCAAGGCGAUGAUAGAUAGGCGGCCUUAACGGGUGGUCGCCCACACUGGGAUUGAGAUACGGCCCAGACUCCUACGGGAGGCAGCAGUCGAGAAUAGUCUACAAUGGACGAAAGUCUGAUAGUGCGACGCCGCGUGAACGAAGAAGCCCUUCGGGGUGUAAAGUUCUUUUAUAUGUGAGCAAUGCUUUUUAUGUGAACAGCAUGAGAAGAGAGAUAUUAGCAUAUGAAUAAGCAACGGCUAACUCCGUGCCAGCAGCCGCGGUAACACGGGGGUUGCUAGCGUUGUCCGGAAUUACUAGGCGUAAAGGGCAGGUAGGCGGAUAGAUAAGUUUGAUGUUUAAGGCAGCGGCUCACCCGCUGUAAGGCAUUAGAUACUGUUUAUCUGGAAUGCGGUUGGGGAAGACAGAAUUCCUGGUGUAGCGGUGGAAUGCGCAGAGAUC